CGUCACAGAAACCAAUCCGGCGAAGGAGAACCAAGCACGUGGCACUCUUCUCCGUGCAACGUUUCCUCUUGCCGUCUCUCUCUCCCCGCCUACCACUACCCUUUUCCGUUUGCGCCCUCGCUGCAGCGGUGGCGUGGCGGCGAGUAGCACGCAGACAUCGGCACCGCGUGUCAGAGAGGGAGAGCGAGAGGCCCCCCUCCACUCCUCUCCUCCUCCCCCACCCCCAUCGCCUUCCACCACGUAGCUCUCCUCAUCUACCGCCCACCACUACAGCGCCGCCUCCGCGCACACGACGCCGUUAACGAAACUAAUCUGUAACUAACGAUCCCCGCAACCCCUUCUCCCACCAUCCCUACCAGUACCCCCACUGCUGCUAUCAAGAGUGACGCCCAGCUCCCUUUUCGCUGCCGUCCCUGUGCACUCGGCUUCGGCGGCGGCGAAGCCGUGGCUGUCGCAGCGACAAGCAAGCGAGCGAAAAACCGGCGCCACGGCUCGUGCAGGCCGGCAACAACGGCCGGCGGCGGAAUAGCGAGAGGCGCGUAACAGUCGGUGGUGCUCGCUCAUCUCCAUCUAUCUCCUCUCUUUGCGGCUCAACACGUGCACGCGACGUUGUCGGCUUCCUUGCCGUCCCCGUCCCCGCACACGUCUCUCUCCGCCUCUGCCCUUUCUCGCUGCAGCUUUACCGCCUCUUUCGACACGGGGCACGCGCAGCCACGGCGACAGAUAUUCGGGGGUGCGGCUCAAUCAGCUCUGCACUGGCGCGUGGCGCAGUUGGUGCUCGCUUUUAUUUUUCUUCCUCUUGGCCGCUCUUCUUUGGUUGCUGUGUCCCUGUCUCCAUCUUCCGUGCUCCGUCUGCUGGCUGUACGCGUUCACGCCUCUGGUGGGUUGCUGACGUCCCUCCGUCUGGCGCGCUCGUCGGCGCCGCAUUGGGGGGGGGCGUGUGUGUGUGUGUGUGUGUGUGUCGGUGCACACGUGCGUGUGCCGGCGUUGCUCCUCUUUACGGGUGUUGUCGCGGGUCUCUCAUCAUCUCCGUCCUCCUCCCCCCUCGUGUGCUUACACCGGGGCGCAGCCAUGCCGCGCACGGAGAACUUUACGGAGGCGCUGCAGCUCACGCACAACUUUGACCCGAGUGUGUCGCACAGCGCCCGCCUCGAGGCGGAGCGCUACCUGAUGGACCUCCGUGAGAGCGCAGAGGGGCUGAAGCUGAGUUUUCACAUCAUCAGCAACGAGGCGGUGGACGAGCUGCGGUGCUUCUGGGCCUUCAACACGGUCAUGCACCACCUCCCGAUGCUGGCGGCCACGGUGGACGCCGAACAGGCACAGGAGUUUUACCACACGCUCCUCUCUUUCAUUCACCGGUACCUCUUCGCGUCCCCGACCGUGACGCCGAUAGACUAUGUCGUCAACAAGCACGCACAGAUGAUGGUGGUGGGACUGCAGCUGUUCUACCCAGCGCGCUGGCAGUCGAUUUUCGACGAUCUGUUUGAGAUGCUCGACCGCCGCCCGACGAGCCCCUACCUCCCCACCGCCGAUCUUGUGACCAUCUACGUGUUGCGCAUCUUCGAGUACAUUGAUGAGCGUGUUGUCUGUGUGCGGGAUCGACAGGAGCGCGGCAAGCAGCAGCAGGCUCGCGACAUGGAGUUGAAGGACGCGAUGCGUGAACGAGUCCUUCCGAAGGCGGCAGAUAUGUGGUACAACAUACUCCUCAGCGACGCCCGUGCGCGCAACCCCGACAUGGCAAGGCUGUGUCUGAGCGUGAUGCAAACCUACAUUGAGUGGGCCGAUGUGAACCUCUUCAUGACGGAGAACUGGAUCCAUCUCCUGCACUUUCUCCUCACUGUGCCGCCCCUGCAGGUGGCAGCCUGUGAGUGCCUGUUAUCGCUGGUGGAGAAGAAGCAGCUGCCUGGCAUAAAGAUGAGAUCCCUUCGCGCCCUGAGCGUUGUCGACUCGGUGCCACGCAUGAUGUCGCUGUUCGAGCUCCCGCCACCCUCGGAGGCGGCGGUGCUUUUCAUGGAAGCGGCCGCCAAGUUCGCCGUGGCCGUGGCCGGCCAGUUUCUUUCCCUGCUUGACACUUGCGCGUCGCUUGCCCAGCAGCAGCCGGCCACCCGCUCGGCUGCCACGGUUGAGGUAAGUGGUGUGGUGCUGCGUGACGAACCCUUCACCGUCACGGCUGACCUUCUUGACGGGCUCGCCGGCGCAUUGCAUGCCGUCGUUGGGCAGGUGAUUCUAGUGCUGCAGCUGAACCUGUUCGACGUGCAUGAUGCCCUGCUACCCUUUCUGCAGGUCUAUCUCAAGAGUGCGUACCUGCUGGAGUCCGAGGCCGUGGAGCUGCUCGCGACGUUAUUCCACCAAACAAGGAUCCCCGGCGUGGCCUACGACGAGAAUCGCAUCUGGGACGACACGGUCAUUGAUCAGCGGAAGACGCUGCAUAACCUGCUGCGGCUGCUGCACCGCCGUUGGCCUGACCUCGUCAUGUCACAUCUUCACAGUCUUCUCUUGACCGGGCUCAGUCGGCUGAGCGAGGGCGGCGGCGCAGCAAGGGCGUCCACAGCGAAGGAUGACGCGGACUUCACGGAUCCCGAGGUGCUGGAGGCGGCGCUGCGAUACCUCUACGAGAUCGGCGAGUCUCUCCGUCUUGAGAAUCUCAAAGACCCCAAUGACACCAUCACGCAGCUGCUGCAGCGUGUCCUGACGACGGAGGCGGUAGUCAGUGGCGAGGCCACCUGUGUGCACCUGGCCUUCUUUGAAGUGCUAGGCCGCUACUACCUCUUCUUCACGUACCGCCCGGAGUUCAUCCCGUUGCUGCUUCAGCGGCUGCUCCUGCAGCCGUGCGGAGUUAUGAGUUGCAGCGACCGUGUACGGGCCCGCAUCUGCUACUUAUUCGGCUACCUGUUGCAGCUGCUGAAGAGUCAGCUCGGCGCCUACGCGGCGGACAUGGUCAACGCACUGCACAGCAUCGUCACGACAGCGCCGCAGCUGCAGCCCGGCGAUCGCCGCGAGCUCUACGAGGCGAUCGGGAUCCUGCUCAGCAUCUGUAGUGAGGAGGCGAGCCCCGCUCUAGACGGCAGCUCGUCAGAGGCUCUGCGGUUGCUCACUGCCUCGGCCAGCAUGGACGACUACGGCGCCGCGGUGGUCACCAGCGCCGUUCUCGCAGAGGUGGCGCCGCUGCUGGGUCGCAAGGCAGAACUCGUGCACACCGUCGUGGGCUCAGCGCUGCACUCCCUCCAGCAGGCCAGCGCCUCCUGUGCUGGCAUGAACGGCGGCGCGGCAGGCGGUAGCGGCCAUGCUGCCGCUCGGAGUGUCGCAGCGGCGGAGCGUGCCGUGGCGGAUGUCAUCUCCUUCCUGAGCGCUUUAGCGAAGGGACUGGGCAGCACGGAGAGCAGCAGCGGCGCAGGGUCGGCAGCGGGCAGUGGCGCGAGCAACGGAUUGGCGUCGUCUCCGAAUGGCUUCGUGCCUGGUCAGUGGCGCAUGGGCACCAACCCCAACGCGUCCGGCGUAGCCGUUGACGGGCCGCUCGCCGCGUGCGGUGCGCCGUCGGAUGCCCCACUCAGCACCUCGUCGGCGAUGUCGGCGACAGGCUUGCUCGUUGCGCAGAUGUUUCUGCACGUGACGCAGCGGGUGAUGGAGGUGGCGAACCAGAUGGCGGGCAGUGCCGUGUUGCGUGACGCCGUAGGGCAGUUUUUUCAUCAACUCAUUAACACGCUGCCGUACGAGAUGCUUCGGCCUUACAUUGAGGACUACGUCACGGUCUGCCUCAACUGGAUGGAGGCUGUACCGGAGCUGUCGAAGCUGCUGCGGCUGAUGUUUCAGUACGCGAACAAAGCCGGCAAUCGCGGCGUGCUCUCCGUUGCACGGCUUACCUCGCUGCUGUGGCACCGACUUUGCGCGGUUGGUGAGCUGAGCGAGGCGUCGCCGGUGGUGUGCAUGGGCGUGGUAAGCGAGAGCGCACGCGAGCGGGUGAACGUGUACAAGCAGUUCUUCACGUUUCUCUUCAGCGUCUCCACCUGGGGCUGCGUGGCAGCCUUUGCGCUCAUGCCGUCUGCGUGCUGGAUGUCCAUUCUGCGGCAGCUGUGCUACGCGCUGACGUUGCCGACCGAGCUGGAGCUGCCCAAGUCGGCGCUGCAGGUGCUGGAGAAGCUCACACAGGAGCUGACAGAUCCCGUUGUCGCUCAGGCGGUGGCGCAAUACAGCAGCGCCACCGAUGUGGUAGAUGCUGCGACAGCGCAGAGGAAUCAACAGGUCUUCAGCGAGUGCCUCUUGCAGGAAGCCCUGCCCACAGCCUUCGGCGCAUUGGCCGACCCCUCCUUCGACCUCGACGACGCCAAGAAUUUUCUGCUGCUGGGCGAGGUGCUGCAGCUUUUCCGCGUGUUGGUGGCGCGGUACGGUGAACCGGCGAUGCAGGUGUUGUAUGAGCGCGUGGCACCGUAUGUGGGCGAGGCCACAGCGAUGGAGUGUUGUACCGUGAUACGCGACCAACCACGCGUGAACGCGGCGCUGAAGGUAAAGAUGAAGCAGCUGCUGAGUCGCGUGCAUGAGUCUCAACGUCGAACGCCGGCAAACCCCUUGACAUGAUGAGCCGACAGACAUCGCCAUCGAGGCAGCCGCAGCUGCCGCGAGCUCGAGGCACAACAGAACGUACUACAGUGCAGCGCAGAGGUGCCGGUCGUAAAUCGCGCAAGGACCCCUCAUCCCCACGACAGAUUUCGAGUAAACAGUUCGCAGGGGAUGAUGUAGGCGCACGCUAUUCGGGAUGUGGAGCUUGCCCAGGUGGCGCUGCGCAGCGGCCGCCUCAUGAUCAACGAGAUCACUUGCCUAUCGAGGCACGCGCCCGGACGCUCCUCCUCUGUGUACGGCCGCAGCCUCUGCUGCUGCUUCAGAGCUCAUCGGCACGCGCGCACACUUCUACUGUGGUGAAGGCGUGCCUUUUGGACGUGAGAGCGCCGACUACUGCCUCUUGCGCGCGUGCCUCGGGGGACGUGACGGUGCGACGAGAUGGGGGGACGCUAUCUGCGCAUUUCUUUUUUUUUGUCGAGUGGACGUGAGUUCGUUGUUCUACCUGCCAGCGUCGCUUCGCGUAGCCAUCUUCCUCGAGAAGGGGGGGGAGCAGUGACAUUUUCGCUCAUCCCCUCCCCCUCCUCUCCCGCUGCUUCCACUGGCCGUGCCCCCAGAGUAAGCGCCCCGCCCACCCUCCCUCUCUUUUAUGUCUCCACAUGAUGAGACGGGCGGCUGAGGGGACGGAGUGGCAUACACACACACACACACACACACACACACACACACACACUCAUCCUUGCACCUAAGCACAGGCGCAUGCGCGUGCCGAUGCUCUUGGACACACACAGAAGAAGACCUGCUCUACUCCUGCCGGCGUGGCCCUCGUUCUGCGAGCGGCCCGGUCUCGCACCCCCCUCCCCCGCCCGAUGUUUCACGCGCACACAGGGCGGACAAGGAAAGCCAAAGUGUGACGUAAUGGUGUAAGACAAGCGAGGCAGGCUCACCGGCGUCACUGCCGGCUUUCGGUGUAGUCGCGUCUAUGCCACCUGCUCUCUGGCACGCCACCGCUCAACCUACACUGACAAGCAGACUGACAGACACGCACGCACGCGCGCAC
rnacentral:misc_RNA from 1 species